UUACUACAGAACUGAUUAAACUCAUUAUUAUAGAAUUCUAAGCCAUUAUCAAUCCUAAGCACCUUAAUCCUUUUUCCAGUUUGAUUUUCCAUCUAAGUUUUCCAAAUUUUAAACUUUUUUAGAGUUUCAGAUUUAUGCCUCAACAAGUAGACCCAAACCUUUCUUGAGUAAUCAUCAAUCAAGGCUAUGAAAUAUAUAUCACCCCCUUGUGUGAUAGUAGAUGAAGGCCCCCACAGAUCAACAUGUAUAUAUUCAAGAAUAGAGGUGAUUAUAUUCUUACCAGUGUUAAAAUGCAACCUAUGCUGCUUAUUUAAAGUGCAAUUUUCACAAAAAUGCAAUUUAGAUAUAGAAUAUUUUCCAAACACACCCUUCUUAUAAAGGAUCCAUAAGCCCUUCUCUCCUACAUGAGCAAGUCUCUUUUGCCACUUUAAAGUGGCACCAAAUUCAGCACUAGAAGAUUCAGCAACAUUAUUAUUCAUAGUACUAGCCUUAACUACAUAGAUCCCAUUUCUUUUUAAUUCAUAGCAUUUUUUAUUCCUAGUCUUAAGAUUUUGACCUAUCCCCACUUUUAAACUUCUUCCUAUGACUUGUUCCCUGGUUGCCUAGACUUUCAUGUGUAGUAUUAGACCUAGUUAGGGUCCUAUCUCUAACAAAUAGGUUUUCUAAUGCACCAUUGUUCCUUUCAAUUUUCAAGUUCUUUACUUCUUAGUGAAUUGAUUACUAUAUCAGGAGUAAGGGUAUCUUUGCCAUAUUUUAUUUCAACUUUUACUUCCUUAUAUGUCUCAGGGAUAGCAUUUAAGAGUACAAUAGCUUUAUACUCUUCAGAAACUUUAUCACCGGCAUUAGUUAUGUCAUGUACCAACUUAUUAAAGGUGUCAAGACUAUCCUCUAGGUGUCAAGACUAUCCUCUAACUCCUUAGAGGGGUCAAUCCUAAAACUAAAGAAUUUUUCUAACAAAAACAAUUAGGUAAUGAUUUUACCAAAUAAAGCUUCUCUAACUCUUCCCACAAUUUUUUGGCAUCAUUAUGUUUACCAACUUUUCUCAAAACUUGAUCGGGCAAAUGCAAAAUGAUAGAGGUAUAUACAAGUUCAUCAGCUUCAUUCCUUUGAUCAGUUGUCAUAGCUUCAACUUUAGAGAACUUUUUGUUGGACUAAAAGACCUUUCAUUUUUUGUUGCCAAAUGAAAAAAUCUCAUUUUCCAUAAAAAACACCAAGUUCAAAAGAAAUACUUGUCAUUUUUAAUCAAGAAAUAACACACAGUAUUUCAAAAAAUUUAAAAAACUAGACAGCUAAUCGACUUUUGAACAAUACUAGUGUUUUGACCUUCACAAAAAAUUAGAGGAAUUAAAGAUUACAUAAAAAUGCAGCAACAAUAUUAGAAUAUCACAGUUAUAUAUAUUGCAGUAAAGACACAAUCCCAAAGAUCAAAGGAAUAACAGACUAAUCACGAUUGUCACACAAGAUGAUCAAAUUCACAAGGAUUCCGUGAGAAUCGUGUUAUCAGGUCAAGACUCAAUUUGAAACAUCUCAAGAAAGCACAAUACCCAACCGUAUCGACCCCCCCCCAAGAUAGGUGCGCGGGAAGACGAAGGAGGAUUAUAGGGCAGAUGGUAUGCACCUUUCAUGAUCUAGGCGUCAUUGAUGUAUUCUACUUCUUCUCCUUCUUUCUCGAGUAGGUGACAAAGAUCCCAAGAAUUAUAGUUACACCACAUAAAUGAGUAUAACGUGAGGAAAGCAAUCAAGAAAUGUAUCAAAUAUAUCCUAACACAAAAAAUAAUGAAAGAAUGCUAUAAGUAUUGUUGAUUGCAAACCAGUGGGU
rnacentral:lncRNA from 1 species